CGGCCGCUCCCCGGGCCGCGGCCGCCGGCCCCAUCCCGCGGGAAGCGGGCGGGGGUUAUGUAAGCGUGUGCGUAGGGAGCGUCUCCCGGAGCAGCGGAGCUCCGGAGGUCCCUUCCAGCCCUGACGAUUCUGUGACGCGGGCCGAGGGCUCGGUGCCGUCGGGACGUGCUGGUCAAAAGGAACCCCCGGGCAAGAGAGAGCCGCUCGGCCGUGCGGCGCUGCCGCACCCAAAGAGGCUGUCGAGCAGCAGAACGACUUAAAAUGGUCCCUCUCGCACCGUUAGUAAAGUCAUUACUAAAAGGUGAAUUUCUCACGCCUGUUAAUUACAGAGCUCGAGCCGCCGCCGGUGUGCUGCCCGCACAGCGGGUUUCCCUGGACCUGCUCCUUGGCUGCACCGGAGGCCGACGGGGGCAUGGCACUGACAGGAUUCAGUACAACCCUCUGGAGCCUUAGCAGGGCAGCUCUAGUUGCAGCUCUGAAAAUAAACCUCCACCUGUGGAUUUCAGCUCAAAUCUACAGCUUCCAGAGUGUUCACGGACAAGUGGGUAGCAACAGCAAGAGCGGUCUUAUUAGAGAGAUAAAAGGGAGUACAAGACAAGUAAAAAGGCAGAGGAUCCAAAUCAGCAGUAAGGACCUUUCUUAACUUGGACAAUUCCAGACAGUACUUUAAGAACUGUCAUUUUUCUUUCUCCUAAAAUAUUUUUUCUGCUAAGAUACACAGAAAGUAGAAGUCAGCAAGAAGACGCACAGGCAUCAUAGAUUUUUUCCCUUCAUGCUUUUCUUUCCUCACUUCAAAUGACAUAAUAAACAUAGUAAUAGAAUCACAGAAUCAUUUAGGUUGGAAAAGACCUCUGAGGCCAACUUUUUACUGACCACCACCAUCUCAGCUUGGCCAUGGCACUGAGUUCCACUUCCAGUUGUUUACUGAACACCUCCACAGAUGGUGGCUUCAUCACCUCCCUGGACAGCUCAUUCCAAUGCUUAACAACCCUGUCUGUGAAAAACUUUCUCCUGCUGUCCAACCUGAACCUCCCCUUGUGCAGCUUGAGGCUCUGUCCUCUCAUCCUGUCACAGCUUACCUGGGAGAAGUAUCACCACCAUCAGGCCAUACCUGAUGAUCAAGCUCUCCACAAGGCUGCCACACUGAAGAUAGCCCUGAAUAAAGUCCAGCAUCAACCAAUCUUCUUGGGAAUACUGAGGUUGAAACUGCCCUUCCUCACUAGACCUUGUGGUUUCAUAAACAAAUUGCAGCCAUGAAAAGCAUCAGUGUCUAGGGUGUUCUGUUGCUACAGGCUAAAUAACAAUUACAGUAUAUCAUUAGCAUAUCAUUAUGUCAAAACACUAUUUGUCUCUAUCUGGCCAUGCCUUCUAUGCGAGACAGUUUGUUCUUGACUCAGAAGAGAGAGAAAGAACAUAUUAAUGUAUAAUUAAUAUUGUAUUAGGAUAUAUUAAUAUAUAAUAGAUGCAGACUAUAUUAAUUAAAAUGUCAGAUCUCAAGGGAAGAGCCACUCCAACUUAGUUGAAAUAGAAAAUAGAAUGACAGUUAAUCAAAGAACUCAUACAAGUAAACCUCUCUACAGUGUUCUCUUGUGAAUAACUUUUUUUAAACAAUAUUGCAAAUUUAUCCCAGACUGCGAAUGCAAAAAUGAAGAGAGUGGGGAGAAGACAGAAGGGAAAAAAGAUAACACAAAGGCAUGAAAUGAAAAAAACAAAGAAGGAAGUAUACGUUAUAUUUUCUCUUACAAAUUAGAAGCUAUUUUUUUAGAUGCAUAUUUUUGACAUCAUUGUUUGCAUUAUACUCACAGACUUCGUUAACUGCUCUUGGAACAGCUGUUAUUCAGGAGACCAAGCUUGAACCCUGCUCCUAGAGCAAAGUUUCUUUCUAUAGCAUUUCUCUUCUUCAUUAGCUCUUUUUCACAGAUCCAGCACAGACUACUGAACAUGUAGCUUACAAAAGAAAGGUUCACAUAGACGACAGCAGUGGUUUUCACUCUCUGAAAGAUGUGAUUGUGCAGACUUGGAGUUAGUUAAAAAAUCCUAACACCUCUAGUAAAAUAUUUCUAGUCUAGAAAUCAUUUAUAUGACUGCUGAUUUGUUACUCUAGAUAAGAAAUAUAAGUAGAUAUGGCUAAAAAAAAUUAAGAUAGAGGAAGAUAGCUCUCACCAUCACAGCUCAGUGAACUUCUGAAAAGCCACCAGAAAAGCAAUAUAAGCCAAAUGACUAUAUGUAAUUGUGUAAUAAGGCAGUGAUGAUAUAU
rnacentral:lncRNA from 1 species